GGUCAGGGUGUCGUCCCACUGCGGCAGCUACACCUGCCCUGAGAGGAAGAGGAAGAGGGUGUCCGGGCCCAGCCACAGACACCCUGAGCAGCUUCCUCCUUCCGGGGGCGGGUGGGCAGGCCUCUGCACCCCAAGAGUCCUGCCUUGGCCCCCUCCUCCCCACCCCAGCUGGGCAGGGCCUACUCCAUUCACCUGGAACCCCCACUUCUUGCCCACGUGGGGAAGGUCCAACCUCCAGAGCUGUAUCCUUCCAGCAUCUGAUCGACAGGGAAGAUGGGUUGGAGCCAGCUCGGAGCAAGGCCCGCAGCUCUCCUGGCCGGAUGUGCAGUGGUGGGGAGUUUGGUGCCCUGCCCGUGGCUGCCAGCAUGGGGACCCAGGAGGUGGGUGAGAAGCAGAGACAGACAGACAGACGGCUGCGUGAACGCUCCAGCACGCCAACUGCACUCUCUUGUGCAUGAUCUGUGCCCCCACUUGACUGGGAGAGUGUUGGGGGGUUGGCCAGAGCUGCAGGCUGUCCAACCCCAUCAGCAUGCAGUGCCUGGUGCCUGGUGUAGUCAAUGCUACGUUCUCCGAGCCCAGCACAGUGCCUGGCAAGAAAUGACUUGCAGCAAAUAGCUGCUGGACGUGUGACAUCUUAUGUGGACUGUGGAGUAAGUAAUGAGGCAAGUCAGUGGAACCAGCCCCCCAAAAGCCUGAACAUGUCUUUCAUAACCACGUAAGAAUGUGUACGUGUGCUUUGCAAUGCUCAAAAGAGAGAAGCAGUUUCAUUUUGGGAAAAGUCACUGAGAUUCAAAAUCUAUCUUUGAUGCAAUAAGACAAGAAAAGGAAAUAAAAAGUACACAGACUGGGAAGGAAGAAUCAAAACUGUCUUUGUUCACAGAUGAUAUGAUUGUCUAUAUAUAGAAAAUUCCAAGAACUGACCAAAAAAAAAAAAAUCUGGAACUAAUAAGCAGUAACAGCAAAGUUGCA